rnacentral:rRNA from 1 species
UGGCGGCGUGCUUAACACAUGCAAGUCGAACGAACCUUCGGGUUAGGGGCGGACGGGUGAGUAACGCGUGAGAAUCUGCCCUCAGGAGGGGGACAACAGCUGGAAACGGCUGCUAAUACCCCAUAUGCCGCGAGGUGAAAUGAAUUUCGCCUGAGGAUGAGCUCGCGUCUGAUUAGCUAGUUGGUGUAGGUAAUGGCUCACCAAGGCAUCGAUCAGUAGCUGGUCUGAGAGGAUGAUCAGCCACACUGGGACUGAGACACGGCCCAGACUCCUACGGGAGGCAGCAGUGGGGAAUUUUCCGCAAUGGGCGAAAGCCUGACGGAGCAACGCCGCGUGAGGGAUGAAGGCCUCUGGGCUGUAAACCUCUUAUCAAGGAAGAAGAUCUGACGGUACUUGAUGAAUAAGCCACGGCUAAUUCCGUGCCAGCAGCCGCGGUAAUACGGGAGUGGCAAGCGUUAUCCGGAAUUAUUGGGCGUAAAGCGUCCGCAGGCGGCCCUUCAAGUCUGCUGUUAAAAAGUGGAGCUUAACUCCAUCAUGGCAGU